CUACUUUUGAAGAAAAAAUUAUGACUAUAAAAAGAUUUUAAUGGUUUAUAUAAAUUACAUUGAUUCUAUUUUAAGUGGAGGUGUAAUUCAGAGAGUUUCAGUAACCUUUAAAAAUGUUUAGCUUAUGACUUUUUAAAUCUGUAGAAUUGAAAAGAAGCCAAAAAGAUUUAUGAUUUUUCAUGACUUAAAAGCUGCACCAUUGGGUGGGCACAAGAGUAUUGAGCCUAAUGUUCUGCGUUAUCUCUUGGAUCCUGUUUUGCAUAUCAGGUCAUCUUCUAUCAGAGUAUAUUUACUACUUUUUAUAGUUUACUCUAAUGAGAAGGUAAUUAAUUGUAUAAGACUUAUUCCUUCAUUCAGAAUUUUCUCGUCUUCUAUGCCUGAAACUUAGAGCACUGUAUACUGAGGUCUGUCAUAUUUUAGAGGACAAGGAGUCUCAGAGUGUUUUUUAUAAAGAGAUGUAAAUCUCAUUACCUCCAGAAAAGUGCUAGAUAAGUUGCUUAAAGAGUUUAUAAAUCCUGAUAAAUAAUAGCCUUCUUCAUUUGAGAAAUCUCAUCUCUUUUUAAAAAAUUUUUUAAUCUUGAAAUAAUUUUAGACUCACAAAAAAUUGCAAAAUUAUUAGAGUUCCUGUGUAUCCAUCACACAGUUUCUCCCAAUGAUAACAUUUUAGCUAACCAUAGCAUAAUAUCAAGACUAGGAGAUUGACUUUGAUAUACUCCUAUUAACUAAAGUACAGACCUUAUUUGGAAUUUACAGUCUUAUCUCUUUUUUUUUAAAACUUUUUUUAUUUUUUAGAGUAGUUUUAGGUUUCACAGCAAAAUUGAGUGGAAGGUACAGAGUUCCCAUAUACUUUCUGCCUCCACACUUGCACAGUGUCCCCCACACUUGCACAGCCUCCCCCACUAUGAACAUUCCCCACCAGAGUGGUACAUUUGUCACAGUCAGUGAACCUGCACUGACACAUCAUUAUCACUCAAAGUCUAUAGUUUACAUUAGAGUUUACUCAGUGUUGUACAUUCUAUGAGUUUUGACAAAUGAAUAAUGACAUGUAUCCACCAUUGUGGUAUGAUACAAAAUAGUUUUACUGCACUAAAAAAUCCUCUGCGCUCUGUUUAUCAGCAACCCACCACCCCCACCCCCAACUCUGGCAACCACUAAUCUUUUUAUUGUCUCCAUAGUUUUGCCUUUUCCAAAAUCUCUAUAUGAGGCUAUCCUAAUAAGAUUUUUUCUGUUAAGAAUUUAUUUGUACAAUGAAAUUGUUUUUUCUUGUCUUCAGUUAGAUAGUUGAAUAUUGAAAAAUGAAGGCAAGUUUGAUGUAAUUCUAUGUAGUGCCUUGGAAUGUAAGAACUGUUCAGUUAAUAACUUUUUGCCAUAACAUUUCUUGAAAAGUUGUAUCAUUUUUCAGACAAUCAACUUUUUUCUCUUUGGGUAGAAAGACUUUUCCCACUCCAAAAUACACUGAACAAGUAUGCAAUAAAAAACAGUAUUUAAACAUUACCAUCUCAGACAAAAACAUACUAAUUUACUUGACACUUUCUACACACAGAUUAUUACUUCAAACACAUUUGAAUUGUGCAUCAGGUUAUUUUGCUUUGCAUAAGUAUGUCAGAUGAGAGAAAUGAAGAGGUUGCAUCUUCUAGAACAUUAGUCUGUUAUGUGCAGAUGCCAUUUCCAUGUGUUUUGAAGUUCCCUAAAGGUUUUUUUGUGUGUGUGUUAUAACUUAAUUGUUUUUAACUUUUUUUUUUUUAAAGAUUGGCACCUGAGCUAUUAUGUUGCCAAUCUUUUUUUUCUUUUCUUUUCUUCUCUUCUUCUUCUCCCCAAAGCCUCCCAGUACAUAGUUGUAUAUCCUAGUUGUGAGUGCCUCUGUGCUAUAUGGGAUGCCACCUCAGAAUGACGUGACAAGCCGUGCCAUGUGUGCACCCAGGAUCCAAAUGAGUGAAACCCUGGGCCACAGAAGCAGAGUGUGUGAACUUAACCACUCGGCCAUGGGGCCAGCCCCUGUAACUUAAUUUUAAGUGCAGUUUGAAUGCAAGAUAACCAUUAAUUCUCAGAAGGGUGGAAAAUUGGUGGGGGUAAAAUGAUGGAGAAAACAGAAUUUACCUUCCAAAGAAAGAUUCCUUUAUUCCUCUCCUCUACCAACCACCACCCAUUAUCAAGUUUUCCUUCUUGGCAGGUAUAAUAAAACUUCUUUGCAAUAUAUUUUAUGUAUAUUCUCUUAUGUUUAUUGCUUACAAACUUGUUUUAUUAUUCAGUUGAUAUGUUUUUUGGUAUCUUGGGAUAUAGUGUAUUAUAAUGUGCCCUAUUAAAAUUAAUGAAAAAAAAUUUUAUUUGAAGCUUUUUUGCUUAGUGACAGUGCUUCCAGGAAUAAAUUAAAGGCGUUAAGUGAAGGACAGAGGCAGUAGUGAUUAAGAACACAGGCUCCCAAGACAGACUGCUGGCUUCAAAUCCUGGCCCUGCUACUUACUAUCUGACUUUGGGCAAGUCAUUAUAACCUUGGGUAUGGUGUAUGUUGUGUGGAGGGAGAUUCACCACACUGUUCACUGAGGUUACCUCUGGGGCUGUUGAAAGACCAUCUGAGAUUUUAGGAAUUACUCUUCCCCUUGAGGAAGUUUGAAGCUACAUAAAGAUUGGAUUGCUGUCCAGGUUCUUAGCGUUUUCCUUUAAUUUUUUUUCUGUACUUUAUUUUUUGAGUGGUGCUGAACAUAAACAUCUUGGUGUCUCCAUUAAUGUUUCAGAAAAUUAUGGUUUUUCAUUUGUGAAUGUAAAAGUUCUGCUAAUUUAAAAAUGUAAAAGUAGCUGUAUUUUCAGAUUAUAAAAAUAAUAAAUAUUUGUUAUGGAAAACUCUCAGGAGAAUUUGAUGCUUGAUACUCCUCACACCAAGAGACCUUCCUUCUCUUGGGAAGUAGAUGAAAUUAAUAGGCUAUGGUUUUUAUCUAUUGUUUUUAAGCAAGGUACAUAAGGAUCUUUGUAUCCCUUCCUAGAAGAUAAGUUGCAACAAAGAGAACUCUCAAUGUCUAUAAAUUAUCUUUAAAGUCUGUUUGUUUAGAAACUGCCCUCGCUCUAUUUUUAUAAAAGUUAGAAGCUUAUUACUCUUUUGUUAUUUGAGUAAAAGAAUAUUGUGAUUAGUGUUACGAGUCCAGUAUUUCUGCUCUGGGAAAAUGAUAAAAAGGGCAGAAUGCUCUAUUUCCUACCCUACCCAAACUGUUACCAAGAUGUUCCUGCAAAGUGCAUGGUUAUAGGCUGCAGGCAAAAAUUCUUCAUUGCCUUCAUACCUGGUCUGGACUGCAGGACUGUUCAGACAGUUAAAGAAUGCCAUCUUUGGUGGAGCAGUGCACGUAAUACCGGGCUAAUACUUGCUAUUAUUUAAUAGCCACCAAAG
ensembl:lncRNA